rnacentral:lncRNA from 1 species
CAGUUUGUUAACUUUGAGCUCCUGUGGUGUAACCAGCCGCCCUUUAGUGAGAGAGAAUUAGUCUGUUUAGCAGAAGGCAUCACAUCCCUCUGCUUAUCUCCCAUGCUGCUGCUCUCCCCAGCAGCCGCACGCCUUGGUGCCUGCUGUCCCACACGUCCGGGGCUGCUGUACAGAGCACUCCUUAUACAGACGUCUCUUGGCAUGAAGGCGCUCCCCGGGAGCAGGACUGUAGAUUGAAAUGCUGCCUUCUUGGAAUAAGCAAAUGCCAGGGGUUUAUUUCCUAUUAAGCUAGCAGAUAGUUUGUGCAUUUAGCUGCAGUUUGCUGUCUCCAAACAGAUAAGGGUGGAUACUUGUUGUUUUCCUUCCUCUUUAUAUUUCCAGCCUGGGAAACAGCAAAAAGUUUGUGCAAAAGCAACAUCUGUGGGAGAGAGAGAGAGAAAAGGAUGAGGCGGGCUGGCUGGGCAGCCAGCCUCAGGAGAUGGUGAGACAGAAGAGCUAUUCAUUGUGAGAGGCAGUUGCUCCUCACCCUGCUAGACUAUAAAUUGGACACCUUAUUAAGAGCUGAUCCUCCAACAGCCCCACCCCAGGCUGUGCUCACGCUCCAGACUAGAGGAACAUAAUCCCAUUUCUCUCUGGGUGCCUGCUGUUGGGUGAGCACAUGUGUGAGCGGGACAGAGGACACGAGGCAGAAGGAAGCAGCACAUUUUUGGGUUCAACUUAGGAAAACAAGGCAAACUUUAAGGAGGGGACAGGGUGGAGGUUGGAUGGCAGUGAAGUUUGGGCUCUCACACUGUGAUGCUGUAGUUGCCUUACCAAAUAAUGAAACCAGUCUUACAUUUUUUCUUUUUCUUUUUUUUAACUUGUUUUCUCAGUUGUAACUUAAAAAUGCUGACUCACUGGCACUGUGUGCCAACACAAAUGUUGCUGCGGAAAUCAAUCAUCGUGAGAGCCUGGUGAGAUACAACUCCACAGUGUCAUGGGCUUUGAAUGGGCCUCCAAGUUUCUUCUUCAGACAGUUGGCUUGGUAACUCCCAUCGUGUCAGGAUUUGCAAUGCGCAGUUUGGGCUAUGGAUGUGAAGGACCAAAUCCUACGCUGCUUAAAGUACAAAAGAGCAAUGGAACUACGUCCAUGCAUAUGAAUACACGGAAUGCUGAAAUCAUUCUACCAUUCUGAAAAACACGUGGUCUAGAGGACUGAUGCUGAGAGAUGUCAUUUAGGAUCAUCUAAUUCAUGAACCUGUAUAUCCUGAUGUAAAUAUAGCUUUUCCCCUGGUUAUAUACUUUCAUUGGUGAAGAUAUCCUUUUUUUAAAAUAAUAAUAAUAAGUAGAUGUUAAAUACUGUGCAUCUAGAACCCCUUACUGGACUUAUAACACCUUUAUAACAGCAUUUUACACAGCACACCACUUUUCCCAUCCUAUCUAGUAUCAGAGGCUUCUCUCAAUCAGCAGAGCUCAUGGAUUGAGACUGGUAUUAAAAUAAAGUUUAACAUCUGCGCA